UGUGUGUGGAUGAGUGAGAAGCGAUAUUUAAUCCAUUUUGAAUUAAAGCGGUUACUCAACUAAAUGUGAAAUAAGUCCAGGGGUAGGAGUACUUUCUGAAGGUACUGUAUAUUCUAGACAGAGGAAGGUACUGUAUAUUCUAGACACAGAGGAAGGUACUGUAUAUUCUAGACACAGAGGAAGGUACUGUAUAUUCUAGACACAGAGGAAGGUACUGUAUAUUCUAGACACAGAGGAAGGUACUGUAUAUUCUAGACACAGAGGAAGGUACUGUAUAUUCUAGACACAGAGGAAGGUACUGUAUAUUCUAGACACAGAGGAAGGUACUGUAUAUUCUAGACACAGAGGAAGGUACUGUAUAUUCUAGACACAGAGGAAGGUACUGUAUAUUCUAGACACAGAGGAAGGUACUGUAUAUUCUAGACACAGAGGAAGGUACUGUAUAUUCUAGACACAGAGGAAGGUACUGUAUAUUCUAGACACAGAGGAAGGUACUGUAUAUUCUAGACACAGAGGAAGGUACUGUAUAUUCUAGACACAGAGGAAGGUACUGUAUAUUCUAGACACAGAGGAAGGUACUGUAUAUUCUAGACACAGAGGAAGGUACUGUAUAUUCUAGACACAGAGGAAGGUACUGUAUAUUCUAGACACAGAGGAAGGUACUGUAUAUUCUAGACACAGAGGAAGGUACUGUAUAUUCUAGACACAGAGGAAGGUACUGUAUAUUCUAGACACAGAGGAAGGUACUGUAUAUUCUAGACACAGAGGAAGGUACUGUAUAUUCUAGACACAGAGGAAGGUACUGUAUAUUCUAGACACAGAGGAAGGUACUGUAUAUUCUAGACACAGAGGAAGGUACUGUAUAUUCUAGACAGAGGAAGGUACUGUAUAUUCUAGACAGAGGAAGGUACUGUAUAUUCUAGACAGAGGAAGGUACUGUAUAUUCUAGACAGAGGAAGGUACUGUAUAUUCUAGACAGAGGAAGGUACUGUAUAUUCUAGACAGAGGAAGGUACUGUAUAUUCUAGACAGAGGAAGGUACUGUAUAUUCUAGACGCGGAGGAAGGUACUGUAUAUUCUAGACGCGGAGGAAGGUACUGUAUAUUCUAGACGCGGAGGAAGGUACUGUAUAUUCUAGACGCGGAGGAAGGUACUGUAUAUUCUAGACGCGGAGGAAGGUACUGUAUAUUCUAGACGCGG